rnacentral:rRNA from 1 species
GAGUCAACGUAUGAAUAAUACGUGGCGAACGGCUCAGUAACACGUAGUCAACAUACCCAAAGGACGUGGAUAACCUCGGGAAACUGAGGAUAAACCGCGAUAGGUCAUAAGUACUGGAAUGUUUUAUGGCUCAAAUCUACAUGGCCUCUGGAUUGGACUGCGGCCGAUCAGGCUGUUGGUGAGGUAAUGGCCCACCAAACCUGUUACCGGUACGGGCUCUGAGAGGAGGAGCCCGGAGAUGGGCACUGAGACAAGGGCCCAGGCCCUAUGGGGCGCAGCAGGCGCGAAACCUCUGCAAUAGGCGAAAGCUUGACAGGGUUACUCUGAGUGAUUCCCGCUAAGGGAAUCUUUUGGCAUCUCUAAAAACGAUGCAGAAUAAGGGGUGGGCAAGUCUGGUGUCAGCCGCCGCGGUAAUACCAGCACCCCGAGUGGUCGGGACGAUUAUUGGGCCUAAAGCAUCCGUAGCCGGUCUUGCAAGUCUUCCGUUAAAUCCACCUGCUUAACAGAUGGGCUGCGGAAGAUACUACAAGACUAGGAGGCGGGAGAGGCAAGCGGUACUCAGUGGGUAGGGGUAAAAUCCUCUGAUCCAUUGAAGACCACCAGUGGCGAAGGCGGCUUGCCAGAACGCGCUCGACGGUGAGGGAUGAAAGCUGGGGGAGCAAACCGGAUUAGAUACCCGGGUAGUCCCAGCUGUAAACGAUGCAGACUCGGUGAUGGGCCGGCUUCAUGCCGGCUCAGUGCCGCAGGGAAGCCGUUAAGUCUGCCGCCUGGGGAGUACGGUCGCAAGACUGAA